CGUGUAGGCGGUCUGAUUAGUCUGAUGUGAAAGCCCUGGGCUCAACCCAGGAAGUGCAUUGGAUACUGUCAGACUUGAAUACGGGAGAGGGUAGUGGAAUUCCUAGUGUAGGAGUGAAAUCCGUAGGUAUUAGGAGGAACACCGGUGGCGAAGGCGGCUACCUGGACCGAUAUUGACGCUGAGACGCGAAAGCGUGGGUAGCAAACAGGAUUAGAUACCCUGGUAGUCCACGCCGUAAACGGUGAGUACUAGGUGUUGCGGGUAUUGACCCCUGCAGUGCCGCAGCUAACGCAUUAAGUACUCCGCCUGGGAAGUACGGUCGCAAGACUAAA
rnacentral:rRNA from 1 species